UAGCUUAUGCUUGUGCCAGCAGCCCGUGGUAAUACGUGAGGGUGCCAAGCGUUUAUCGGAAUUACUGGGCGUAAAGCGCACGCGGGCGGUCGGAUGAGUUAGAUGUGAAAGCCCCCGCGCUCAACCUGGGAAAUUGCAUUUAAAAGUGUCCAGUACCAGAUACGUCUUGUAGAGGGGGGUAGAAUUCCAGGUGCAGCUGUGAAGUGUGUAGAGAUCGGGAGGAAUUAACCGGUUGGUGAAGUAGCGGCGCCCCUGGACAAAGACUGACGCUCAGGUGCGAAAGCGUGGGGAGCGAAACAGGGUUAGAGACCCUGGUAAUCCACGCUCGUAAACGAGGUCGAUUUGGAGGCUGUGUCCUUGAGACGUGGCUUCCGGAGCUAACGCGUGAAAUCGACCGCCUGGGGAGUACGGCCGCAAGAUUAAAACUCAAAUGAAUUGACGGGGGCCCGCACAAGCGGUGGAGCAUGUGGUUUAAUUGCGAUGCAACGUGAAGAACCUUACCUGGCCUAUGACAUGUCUGGAAUCCUGUAGAGAUACGGAGAGUGCCUUCGGGAAUCAGAACUACUAGGUGCUGCAUGGCUGUCGUCAGCUCGUGUCGUGAGAUGUGAAAGCCCUGGGUUAAGUCCCGCAACGAGCGCAACCCCUGUCCUUUGUUGCCAGCACGUAAUGGUGGGUAGAACUCAAGGGAGACUGCCGGUGAUAAACCGGAGGAAGGUGGAGGAUGACGUCAAGUCAUCAUGGCCCUUACGGCCAGGGCUGACACACGUGCUACAAUGGCGCGUACAGAGGGCUGCAAGCUAGCGAUAGUGGUAGCGAAUCCCAAAAAGCGCGUUGUAGUCCGGAUCGGAGUCCUUGCAACUCGACUCCGUGAAGUCGGAAUCGCUAGUAAUCGCAAAUCAGAAUGUUGCGGUGAAUACGUUAAACCCGGGCCUUUACACACCGCCCAUCACACCAUGGGACAUGUGGGUUGCACCAGAAGUAGAUAGCUUAACCUUCGGAGGGCGUACCAUAGUUUUAUCUUUCCUAAAAAAGGAAAGCUCCGGA
rnacentral:rRNA from 1 species